ACUAGGGUACGUGGACGUCGGUUCGCCCGUUGCUGUUAUUGCCGCUGUUACGGUGGUUGAUGUUGAACUGAUGCAAGAAGGAAUGGCUAAAGUAGAACCUACGAUUACUCGUCAGCUCAGCUAAAGACGGGAGUCUCGAAGCGAGUAAUGCGAAUGGAGACGUUACCGCUCGCACGGCACAAACCUUUUCUACGAAUCAUUUCAUUUACAGAGGACCGGCAAACAUCCUAUUCAGGCCGAUGAUCGAUGUUCGAGCAACAACUGCAUAGCUUUCCCUCGAUCAGGGAGGUGAUGAAUCGCCAUGAAUGGAACAAGCACGAAUAGCUCGAACACGUCGAACUUCUGUCUCUUCGACUCGCUUGUCAGGCUACGGGCACAAUUAGCUUGCCGUGGCAAUGUUUGUUCGCCAAAGCAUUUUUCCCUUAAUUAUACUGAAGUCUGGAGAGUAAAUUGCGCGAAGUAACCGCAGUGCCUAGGGUUGUACGGAACAGAGAAGCGCGGUAAGAUGAAGAGUCCUGCUGCAUUGUUAACUAACGAAUACAGAAUUGUUUACGUAAGCGAAGCAGAGCAGACAGCUCACACCAAGUUACCGGGCGGAACCUCGUACUCUGUGCCUAAUAACUUCUUUCUGUUUAGCAUACACUUCCGAGUUGGUACGAAGCAGCUACGGGGGUGGCAUCGAUCUUCCGCCUUUAGCUGGCGCGAAGAAAAUCGAAAAACCGAAUAUCUAAGAUCUAACUGGCAGUGCUGACCUUUUAGCUGAAACAUUGUUGAAACAGACAUCGAAUUCAACGAAUACGGCACUGCGUGGUCUUGAAGUGGAAGCUGAGUUCUGUGGAAACAGUGCACAUGUAGCUAUGUUUAGAAAUUUUACCUCGCAAAAGCUACCUCGUUACGUAACCGAAUUAUAUAAUCAAAAGUGCAGAAGUGUCCAUUUAACUUGAAAAAAAGAGACUUAAUUUGACUACUCGCACAAUCCAAUGAUCUGCUAUUCCUCAAAGUGGCGUGCAGUAUGGAAAGCACUGAGGUGCGAAUGAACACAAGGAAUUGUCGUGCUGUGAGAGCUAUUCGAAUUUGAUUCUAAUAUGGAAUACGUUAUGAAACUUCAUUAAGGUGCAUACUUCAAUGACUCAUGGAUGACGUACUUACUUGUAAUGCCCCAAGGUCAAUUGUGUUCAACUUUGAAAAAGAAUUGGACCGCCCGCCGUUAGCGUACUGUCCAGCCAAAGUUGUCAGGAAUUUAACAGGCGAUGUCAUAGAGUUAAGAACGGUAGAUAGCGUUGUCAUUUUGUCGCUUGUAAGAUCUAAAACUUAAUGAAUUGGCACUCGCGUACUAGUAACGCCCGAAGUAUCUCUGAAGUAUUUUUAUCCCAGACACUGAGUUGCGGUUUUACAGGAGAUGGACAUAAAAAUUUUGUUAUCUUUGGUUAGUUCACUUCACAAACGAUUGUUGAACUAGCAACACACUCGAUGCAUUUUAGACGGUCUCGGUACUUAGUCAUUCACAAUGCGUUCUGUGUUGAGCGUAUCAGCUGAUACCAUAGAAAAAAGUAUGACAAUAGUUAAGCACUGAUAAAAAAACGUGCGCAAACUGUCUUCGAGUGAUAGUUUCGUUCUGAAAAACGUUUGUUAGAUUUGGAAUAAUUUUGCAAAUUCAUCUGGUCUUAUUUAAGUUAUUGUUGGAACUUACACAAGAAGCACAAAUUUGGUAAAUGAAGCAAAUAUCGUUCUAAAAACGUUUGUAUUCUUUCAGGUGGCUUUAUUCUGUCGAGUUCGGUCCCUUUACGAAAAAGGGACCCUUUACAAGAUAUCCGAUUUUGUUUAUUAUGCUUAAUUAGGACACAAUAAAGUUUUCUUCGUGAAAAAGUAGAUAGCUAGCUGCGGAUCGAUACAUUUGGGUUAACUGCCUCUGGGCUUCUCUAGUACUUCGUGGACAAAAUGCAUAUUUUCAACAUGUGAUACUAUUUGAUUCUACUGUUCAAAGAGUGUAGUAUGUUAAAUUGAGCUUGACAGACCUGUACAAGACACAACUAUCAAAGUGCGUAUUACGCUAUCGGAAAAUAUAAAAUUUUCAUGGUUUACCCGCUAUAGACGUUUCAAGUAAGGCGAUCUAUUAAAUAAGAAACGUGAAAGAAUAGGUUUCCAAAAGGUAAAAAUCAUUCGAUUCCGAAAAUGACUUGAGAGCUGCGUGAUGUAUUAAAGCAAGCAGUCACUACAUAGCUUUCUUUUGGCUUGCCUUACUUUUGGCGUAACGUGUAUGCACGUUUUUUUUAAUUUACAACUCCUACAAAUACUUUCAGCUGUUCACUCUACUACCGUACACAGAGCACAUGCAAGGAUUUUUACUUAGUUAUAUAGUGAAAUCGCUUUCACUAUUAAUGUGUCUUUAUUAAAGUGAACAUUUUUUUUUGUAUGCCAAUUGGAUCUCCUAUUUUUAGACCUGAUUCGCGAAACGUUGCUGAGGCUUCAAAAGACUCUUACAGUAGAACUAAGGUCACCGGAACAGGCACAAGUACUUCGAAAGAAAUCUACGCAAGGUGACUGGAUGUGUAAUCAUUGUCCAUACAAGAGUAAUAAUCUAUCCAACGUAAAGAUGCACGAAACCCAUCAUUUUAAAGGGGCCCAAUUUAAAUGUCGUUAUUGCUCAUUUUCGGCUGAGCGGCAGAAUGCACUAAUAUCACAUGAGCUAAAACUGCACGUGGAUACAUUGACUCUCCCUCCAACGGGGCGAUCCAGCCAGAGUGGCGGCCAUAGUGUACACCAGCAAUUGCAGUCUGUGCAGUCAACAAUGACCACAACGCAAGCGUCAACAGGAUCUGGAACUGUAACACAGACCACGAAUUCGAAUCAAGGCCGGAAAAAGUCCUCUGGAGGAUCCUAGCAAAGGCAUUCAUUUAGAAAAUAUCUUUAUUUUUGAAUGUAUAUUUUUUACAGGAUAUUACUGAAUUCGUUCCCAUUUAGAACAAUAUUUCUCUGAGCGCAUACUCUUUGCUCUAAGCAAUCUGCGUGGCGUAGUAAUAACAAUAAUGAUAACUUGAUGUAUAUAUCACAUAAGCUUUUACGGUCAUGUUAUAUACUUUUAUAUUCUGUUGUUAGGGGGGUCGCUGCUUGUACGCCGAGUCGUGAUUCGUUUUGGAAACUACGAUAAUGAACCCCAUCUUAUAAUUGUCAUCAUAACAUUGCAGUUGUAUUAUUCGAUUUGAGUUGAUUUCCUUCAGGAUGUAUCAUCUUAGCAGUGUUGGUAGGUAAACAUCUUCAAAUUCGUAAGUGCUAUAAUGGCUUUAAAAGCUGGAGGAAAUGCCGAACACCGUGAGAUACAUGCCGGCAUUUGCUUAUUAUAUGGUCACAUGGAAUUUUUGAAUGUUUUGAUCAUAAUUGCGAGUUUCUCUGUCUGAUUUAAGUGUUUCCGAUUACAACUGAUUUGAUGAGCGUUAGUUUCUCUCUGGUAACAAUCACCCAGCAAAUCGAAUGUCUUUGCAGGCCUGGGCUGUCGCUAGCUGCCAAUAGUACAAAGCACGCCGGGGGAGCGGGGGCGAUCAGAUGUACAUAUAACUCUGAACCUACUCAGCGGAAACACUACAGUACCUGUUAGUUAAAUGGGUUGGGACAUAUACACAAUUCACAACUUCAUUCUUGUUAGUACCGAAACAAAAAAUCAGUAAUUUUUUCUUUCAAAGUUCCCUGCACAGUAUAUCUCUUACCAAAGAUUAGUAUGGGUUUUAUGGCUUUGUUUUCUGUUAAGUACAGAAUAACCCUACUUUGAUUUGAGUAAGAUUAUUCUGUCAACUACGGAGGUUCAAAGAUGCGUGCCAACUAUACAACUCGUAAGAAAAACCUGAAGCUGAACAGCGUUUGAAAUAUAAAAACUCAGGCAUUUGUGACGAACCUCUAAGUUAACCUUAAUAAAAAAAAGGAGCAGAACCAAUCGAUUUGUUUAUGGGAAUUAGUAAAUACAGGAAUCAAAUGUCAAGACCUUAAUAAAUGAAUGACCUCAAAGCCUG